GACGAACGCUGGCGGCGUGCUUAACACAUGCAAGUCGAACGGAAAGGCCCUGCUUUUGUGGGGUGCUCGAGUGGCGAACGGGUGAGUAACACGUGAGUAACCUGCCCUUGACUUUGGGAUAACUUCAGGAAACUGGGGCUAAUACCGGAUAGGAGCUCCUGCUGCAUGGUGGGGGUUGGAAAGUUUCGGCGGUUGGGGAUGGACUCGCGGCUUAUCAGCUUGUUGGUGGGGUAGUGGCUUACCAAGGCUUUGACGGGUAGCCGGCCUGAGAGGGUGACCGGCCACAUGGGGACUGAGAGACGGCCCAGACUCCUACGGGAGGCAGCAGUGGGAAAUAGUGCAAAAGGGGCGGAAGCCUGAUGCAGCAACGCCGCGUGCGGGAUGACGGCCUUCGGGUUGAAAACCGCUUUCGCCUGUGACGAAGCGUGAGUGACGGUAAUGGGUAAAGAAGCACCGGCUAACUACG
rnacentral:rRNA from 1 species